rnacentral:rRNA from 1 species
UACGUAGGGUGCGAGCGUUAUCCGGAAUUAUUGGGCGUAAAGGGCUCGUAGGCGGUCUGUCGCGUCGGGAGUGAAAACUCAGGGCUUAACCCUGAGCCUGCUUCCGAUACGGGCAGACUAGAGGUAUGCAGGGGAGAACGGAAUUCCUGGUGUAGCGGUGGAAUGCGCAGAUAUCAGGAGGAACACCGGUGGCGAAGGCGGGUCUCUGGGCCGAUACUGACGCUGAGGUGCGAAAGCGUGGGGAGCGAUCCGG